CCGACGACCACAAUGGGAUGGAUCAAGCAGCCAAGACUCAAAGUGUGGUCGACAGUGCGGCUCUUCCAGCACUGAAGUUAUGUAUUUUGGGCCAAUUUCAAUUGCCUCACUACCUCUACACAUGGAUCCUGUAGGCUAUUCCUCUUGUUACAACCUUUUCCCAUAGAAUCAAAAGGAAUUAGAUUGAAGAAAUUGCAGGAGAGCAGGAAGGGUAUUCCUGGUGUGACAUUCAAAAGCAGUCAAAACGGUGAGGUUUAGAACGGAGGAGCUCCGUGGAAUUGUGGAUAAAAAAUUAUCCAUAACAUGUCUGUCAUUGCUCAUGUCGACCACGGUAUGUGACCGAGCAGUGACAGUUGUCUCUAAUUAUCAAUUUUAUAUAGAGUCUUCUUGAUUGAUGAUUUUGUAGCCUUCUCUUAGUUGUACCAUAUUAAUUCUUAAAACUGGAUCAUUUAAAAUUAGUUAGAUUUAAUGAGUUGUUUCACUGUUUUCAAAUAAGUAGUUUAAGCCCUUAUUGUGUUCUGGAGCUUAUUCUUUCUACCUUUUUAUGAUUGAUUUAUGCUCUCACAAGCUUAAAUGUAACUAUUGACAUAUAAUCUCAUGGCUCAAAGUCUUAGUUGUUGAAUGUAUUAAAAUUUAUAAGACCUGGAGUU